rnacentral:rRNA from 1 species
AUUGAACGCUGGCGGCAGGCCUAACACAUGCAAGUCGAACGAGUGGCGGACGGGUGAGUAAUGUCUGGGAAACUGCCCGAUGGAGGGGGAUAACUACUGGAAACGGUAGCUAAUACCGCAUACCAUCGGAUGUGCCCAGAUGGGAUGAUAUAGUAGGUGGGGUAACGGCGAACCUAGGCGACGUUCCCUAGCUGGUCUGAGAGGAUGACCAGCCACACUGGAACUGAGACACGGUCCAGACUCCUACGGGAGGAAGCAGUGGGGAAUAUUGGGCAAUGGGCGGAAGCCUGAUGAAGCAAUGCCGCGUGUAUGAAGAAGGCCUUCGGGUUGUAAAGUACUUUCUGCGGGGAGGCGUUACUCGCAGAAGAAGCAUCGGCUAACGCCGUGCCAGCAGCCGCGGUAAUUC